rnacentral:rRNA from 1 species
GAUCAUGGCUCAGGACGAACGCUGGCGGCGUGCUUAACACAUGCAAGUUGAACGGUAUGACAUGGAAGCUUGCUGAAGUGUCAUAUAGUAGCGGACGGGUGAGUAAUGCAUGAGAAGCUGCCAUUGGAGGGGGACAACAGUUGGAAACGGCUGCUAAUACCCCGUAUGCCGGAGGGUGAAAGGGAGUAAUCCGCCCGAUGAGGUGCUCAUGUCCUAUCAGCUGGUUGGUGGGGUAACGGCCUACCAAGGCGACGACGGGUAGCCGGCCUGAGAGGGUGAACGGCCACACUGGAACUGAGAUACGGUCCAGACUCCUACGGGAGGCAGCAGUGGGGAAUAUUGGGCAAAUGGGGGCAACCCUGACCCAGCGACGCCGCGUGGGGGAAGACGGCCUUCGGGUUGUAAACCUCUUUUGUACGGGAAGAAGGAAGUGACGGUACUGUACGAAUAAGUCCCGGCUAACUACGUGCCAGCCGCUGC